rnacentral:rRNA from 1 species
CCUACGGGAGGCAGCAGUGAGGAAUAUUGGUCAAUGGCCGUAAGGCUGAACCAGCCAAGUCGCGUGAAGGAAGAAGGAUCUCUGGUUUGUAAACUUCUUUUAUAGGGGAAUAAAGGUAUCCACGUGUGGAUAUUUGCAUGUACCCUAUGAAUCAGCAUCGGCUAACUCCGUGCCAGCAGCCGCGGUAAUACGGAGGAUGCGAGCGUUAUCCGGAUUUAUUGGGUUUAAAGGGUGCGUAGGUGGGUUUUUAAGUAAGAGGUGAAAGUUUGUGGCUCAACCAUAAAAUUGCCGUUGAAACUGGAAGACUUGAGUGUGGUUGAGGUAGGCGGAAUGCGUGGUGUAGCGGUGAAAUGCAUAGAUAUCACGCAGAACUCUGAUUGCGAAGGCAGCUUACUAAGCCAUAACUGACACUGAAGCACGAAAGCGUGGGGAGCAAACAGGAUUAGAUACCCUAGUAGUC